UACGGUCAUCACAUCACGUUGAAACGCCGAUUCUCGUACGAUCACCAAAGUUAAGCAACGUCGAGCCUGGUUAGUACCUCAAUAGGUGACCGCUUGGGAAUACCAAGUGCUGUAAG
rnacentral:rRNA from 1 species